AUCGCUUCUCGGCCCUUUGGCUAACGAUCAAAGUGCUAGUAUCUGUGUCUUAUCCAGAUUAAUAUCUGAUACGUCUCCAGUUGGGGGACAUCGAUAUAAACUGGAUUUUUGAAAGGGGGUGAGGUGACCGGGGCUUUAGCUCCGCCUCAACCACGGGGUUGACCGGUAUUGCAGUACUUCCGGGAAUGGGCGCACGACCA